CCUACGGGAGGCAGCAGUGAGGAAUAUUGGUCAAUGGACGCAAGUCUGAACCAGCCAUGCCGCGUGCAGGAAGACGGCUCUAUGAGUUGUCAACUGCUUUUGUACGAGGGUAAACGCAGAUACGCGUAUCUGUCUGAAAGUAUCGUACGAAUAAGGAUCGGCUAACUCCGUGCCAGCAGCCGCGGUAAUACGGAGGAUUCAAGCGUUAUCCGGAUUUAUUGGGUUUAAAGGGUGCGUAGGCGGUCGGAUAAGUUAGAGGUGAAAUCCCGAGGCUCAACUUCGGAAUUGCCUUUGAUACUGUUAGGCUAGAGAGUAGUUGCGGUAGGCGGAAGGUAUGGUGUAGCGGUGAAAUGCUUAGAGAUCAUACAGAACACCGAUUGCGAAGGCAGCUUACCGGCGGCGAUCUGACGCUGAGGCACGAAAGCGUGGGUAUCGAACAGGAUUAGAUACCCCUGUAGUC
rnacentral:rRNA from 1 species